rnacentral:rRNA from 1 species
CCAAUAGCGUAUAUUAAAGUUGUUGCAGUUAAAAAGCUCGUAGUUGAAUUUCGGGAUCAUCAGGUUGGUCGUGCCUCUGGUAUGUACUGAUUUCGAUGGUCCCUCCUUCUUGAAGAGCCGUAAUGCCAUUAAUUUGGUGUUGCGGGGAAUCAGGACUGUUACUUUGAAAAAAUUAGAGUGUUUAAAGCAGGCAAUCGCUUGAAUACAUUAGCAUGGAAUAAUGAAAUAGGACGUUCGAUCCUAUUUUGUUGGUUUCUAGGACCGCCGUAAUGAUUAAUAGGGACAGUCGGGGGCAUCAGUAUUCAAUUGUCAGAGGUGAAAUUCUUGGAUUUAUUGAAGACUAACUACUGCGAAAGCAUUUGCCAAGGAUGUUUUCAUUAAUCAGUGAACGAAAGUUAGGGGAUCGAAGACGAUCAGAUACCGUCGUAGUCUUAACCAUAAACUAUGCCGACUAGGGAUCGGAUGAUGUUAAUUUUUUAAUGACUCAUUCGGCGCCUUACG